CUGUUCAAAAGUGAAUUGUUAUAUACAGUGUGGCAGCUGACCUUUGACCUGUGAGCUUCAGCCUCUUUGCUGAGUGUUUAAUGCUCAUCUAUUGAAGCCUGCAGACACACCCACACACCAUCUGAUUCGUUCUCAGGGUUGUUUUCUGUGUGUUGGAGUUGGAGCAGAAACCUGCUGCAGGUUAAUUAUUGAUCAAAUUAAUAUCACAAAAGGUGCAGCAGCUGACCUUUGACCUGUGAGCUUCAGAGUCUUUGCUGGUGUGAAGUGUUUAAUGUGACGCAGUCUGCAGACACAGACGACUGCUGACGGAGAAGAAGCAGAGGAUUUUAUCUGUUUCUACACAGACCUGGUCCAGACAGCAGAGAGCUGCAGAGUGAAGACGUUCAUUGGAAGAAGAAGCUGAACUGACUGAAGAUGAUGAUGGAGGAAGAGGAGGACAGAGCAGAGUCUGCAGGGUCCAGCUGUCCGUCUGUGAGGAGUGACGGGUCCAAAGGUCAUAAUCCAAACUUCAGUGGUGAACCUGGAGCAACGAGAGGUCAGAGGUCACAGUCUGCAGGGUCCAGCUGUCC